rnacentral:rRNA from 1 species
UACGGAGGGCGCUAGCGUUGUUCGGAAUUACUGGGCGUAAAGCGCGCGUAGGCGGCUUUGUAAGUUAGAGGUGAAAGCCCGGAGCUCAACUCCGGAACUGCCUUUAAAACUGCAUCGCUUGAAUCCAGGAGAGGUGAGUGGAAUUCCGAGUGUAGAGGUGAAAUUCGUAGAUAUUCGCAAGAACACCAGUGGCGAAGGCGGCUCACUGGCCCGAUACUGACGCUGAGGCACGAAAGCGUGGGGAGCAAACAGG